rnacentral:lncRNA from 1 species
CUGCAUUAGCAUGCAGCAAAUCUGCGAGCUCAUAGAGCAGACAGGGCACUGACCCUCUCGUGACUCAUUUCUACACAGCACAAGAUAGCAAAAAUUUCUGGGUUUCCCCAGCAGGCAGCUGUUUCCUGUCGUGACCACCUCAAACCACAGCCGCUCAGAAAUACACACUGUGCUUCUGCGUGCGAUGCUUCUACUCCUUCAGGGAAGGCUCUUAACCCUAGCAGAUGGUUGACCUGCGCUGCCUCACGUGUGGGUAUGUCCUCAUGACAUUGGACUGUCACAUCAGACUGGAGAUUCGGCUGUGAUGAGAAGAGCCUUAAAGCAAGCAGCUGCAUCUCAGACGAGACCUUCACAACCACUGUGCAGAAGUCUUUGACCUCAGUAGAGCAGCAUGCAGUACUCUUCCGUAAUGAGGUGUAUGUUCUGCGGUGUGUAAUAGAGACAUUUUCUCUGCUGAGAAGACUGCUACACAAAUCAGGAAAAAGGAAAUUCAAAAGGACUCACUUCCUUUGCUCCUUUGUUACCCCAACCCUACAUUCCUCUAGGUAACCAUGCUGAGCCCAAAAAAGAAGACAUCUAUGAGUGAAAAAUAGAAUCGGAGAAAAAGCAGUAUGUCAUCUCUGUGCCUGUUAAAUUAAAUAUAAGCAAAUGAUGAACAAAAAUUGUGAUUCAUUAUGCAUGCUAUGACAAAAAGAAUAAUUUAUAAAUUCCAAUUAAUCUGUUAUUUCUUCUGUAAUAAUAAAAUGAAUCAUCGGCUUUUAAUUUUCCA